UAUCUUUUUUUUUAGUUUUUGACAUGAAAAUGAACUACAGUGAAACUUCUCCAAACCGGCCCCUCAGAAAACCAGUCCUCCCUGAAUAUCGGCCUAAUUUUGAAAUCUUAACAUUUCCGUACAAAGAAAUUCUCACAAAACUGGCCACCCUUGAAAACUGGACAUUGAUAACUUUUUAUUGAACAUUUCUUAACAAACAUGUGUAAUUUUCCUUCAUAAUACCUGCCACUUUUUAAGACCAGUAAAUUUUGGGUCAGAGGGUUGUGUCAGGUGUGAAGAAUGACCAACCAGCCAGGCGGAAAAUUAUCCACUAGAGGUGAAAAAUACAAGUGGCCUAAAAAAUUUCUAUGGUUUACCUGUGAUGUUAGGGUGUUAGUGCCACCUGGUAAGUGCAAGUGACCCUUCCAAAUUCUCUACAAAAUGUAAUGGUUAUUGAACACAGCAUCGAACGCCUUAUUGUUGCACCAUACUAUCGUAUGGAUAUAAGCACAGGCACCUGAAGUGUGGAUAGAUUGUAUAGAUCUUAUGUAGUACAUGUACAUCCCCCCUCUUCUAGAAUGAAAUUAUUUUGAUUCAGAACCAAUAAUUUAUCUAAAAUAUGUUCGAUCACCCUCAUAAGUCAUUCUGAAUAGUCAGUUUCUACCUUCUGUAAGCUUUUGAGAUGACCACUUGUGAGAUACUAAUUAGGGCCCCACAUGAAAUGCGGGAAGCCCUAUAGCAUGUAUAGUAAUCACAUUGUCUGUCUGUCCGUCAACACUUUCUUUGUUACACGAUAACUCAAACAGUUUUUAUUGUACAGUUUUCAAAUUUUGUACAGAGAUAAGAGGAAUGUACAUUAAAGGGACUGGUUCACGAUUUUUGAUAGAAAUAUUUUUCAUUUUUGAUGUUAAACAUUAGAAAUAUAACUCAUUUAAUGUUGACAGCCAAAAUUUUGACCUUCUGAAUGCAAGAAUGAAAGCAAUAUUUUAGCCUUAAAUAUGUGUUAUGUAAACAAAGACUCGAGUCUUUUUAUGUAAACAAACAAACAAGUGAAAUAUUGAUUUUGUAAUAUAAUGCAUCUUAAUUUUGCAUAGUCACAAAUUUUAACUUUUAGAUGACACAUUUCACCCCAAAAAUGCUUGAAAUAUGAAAGAUAUAAUAAUACUUAGAUCGAUAUCCAUUUCUUUUGAAAAGGACUAAGACCAUGUUAACUUUAUCAAAAUUCGGCCUAACGUCCAAAGUGAAUAAUUUUUUGUUAGAAAUAUUCUCUAACAUGUUCUUUUCCUAUAAUGUACUGGUUUUUAUAUGUAGAGUUCGUGAAAGAACACUAUUUUAAGGUUUACAUUACUAGUAUAAAUCCUAUAAUUUGCUCUACUUUUUAAGAUUGCGUCAUACAACGUCGCUAUAUAUUAUUAGAAGUGGUAACAUAUUGUAAAACAUAAUUAUGCAAUGAGUGGUUUAAUAUAUAAUAAGAUCUUGAAAAAGAAAUUUUCUUUCCCAAUACGCAAUAAGGUUAUUUUACUUAUAGCCCGAAUGGCACACCAUAUUUUUCAAUCCUUCAUUCGGCCAUUUUCACACGCCGCGCCGUUAGCCUGUUUGAGCUGUUCGUGGAAGUUGCAGAGGAUGUACUCAUCGCAUUUCAACGAUGAUAUAAUAUGUACAGCAAAAAUUGAUGGCAAGGGUGACAUGAAUCAGAUUGACAAGAAUCCAUAUUCCUACUCCUCAAUAAUGCUAUCAUCACUGCCAUCAGAUUCAUCAAUGAUAGUGGCAUCAGUGACACAUGAGGAUAAGUGUUGGACAUCACUGCAGGAAUAGCUUCCUUGUUGUGCCUGCCAAUAGCAAGGUACCAGAUUAUACAGCAGUUAUGUGGAAACAGAUUCCCACAAUAGGGGGACCAGAUUGACACCUACAUUGUACAGUAUCAGGCAGUUAUAUCAAAACUGGAAAAACUGGAUCCAAACAAGACUAUAUUGCUUGGAAGAAACAUGUCGACUCUGAAGUUUAACCCUUAUUAACCCAUGGCACUUCCAGAGACAUCCUGAUACCAUGGUUCUAUGUCAUUUGAAAUAUACCUGUGGAGGUUUUUAAAGUGUUUUUUUUGGGGGGGGGUGUUAUUAAUUGGAAGAAUUCAUAUUUGAUGAUUCAAAUGAAAAUCUGCAUGUUGAAUUAUGAAUGUCAUAAUGUACUUUUUGAAUGAGUUCAAGAAUGGUUGUCCUGAUGAAAAGUGUAGAGUCAAAAGUUAUCAAAUUGUCAAAAACACUGGUCAGGUCUGAAUUCAUCAUCUUGGACACCUUGCAGUUGGAAUUAUGAUCUCUAUGAAGAAAUGCUGAAAAUCUUGCAAAAGAGGAAAUGACAAGUUGGGGUCCAAGGCACUUGCAUAUAUGCAUGAGAAGGUGUUCUAUCCAGGCUUGAGGUCAAUUACAUAGUACUGUAAUGCCUUACAUUACCUAGAAAAUUUUGCAUUACCAUUACUCCUAUUUUAAAAUAUAAUGUAUUACAUUACUUGAGAGUGAAUUUACAUUACACAUUUACAUAACAUACUGUCAGAUAUUAAAGAAAUGGCAGAAAAAUUAUUUCUGUAUUAUGAUUUUUAAUUAUACAUUAACAUAAGUACACAAAAUAUUCAGCAAUGUUAGGAAACAUAUCUAUUAAGUUAUUCAUUGCAUUUGAUUGUCAUCAAUGUUUCAAAUGCUUCAGUCAAUUACUAAUAAAAUGAAUUAUUCUAAAUCUUCAAAAUAUCAUCAAAUAUUUGAAGUAGUGUAAAUGUAAUGAAAAAUAAUGUGCAGUACAGUAUGCAUUACAUUACCAUUACUUGUAAUGCAAAAAUGGUCCAUUACACCCCCAUUACAUUGAAUUGGCUGUCAUUUAAUUACCAUUACCCCAGCCCUGGUUCUGUCGAGAGGUAUUGAAAUUGUCUGUAGAGACUUUGUCUCAGGAAGUGGCCGAGAUUGGUGGUGACAAUUUUGUUGGAUGUGAAUUUACUGAUACACAUGUCUACACUUGCUACACAAUAUAGCAUGUGGUGGUUUCAACAAGAAAGUUCUUACUCUUCAGGAAAUGACGAAUAGCUAAUGGAUUCACAUUUUUUCUGACUUUUCUUCUGUACAUUAGAUGCAUUGGAAAAACUUUCCUUUCCAUUAUCUUUUGCUGGUUCAUACUUUGAAAUAAAAUCAAGUCCGAAAAUAAA